rnacentral:lncRNA from 1 species
UCUCCCCAUGCCUAACUAUAUCUCUCUCCAACAAUAUCUGCUCUAUCUUUUUUUAACACUCUUCUCUCUCUAUAGCAUUUUCAAUUCUCUCUGCCAUCGACCAAAAUAAAAAAAGAAAAGCAAUAAUACAUCAACCUUAAUUCUUAAAAACCAUAAAGAAACACAUUCAUUCACAUAUGUUUUUUUACAUAAAUUUUUACAUGAACUAAGAAAAAUAGUGAGAGAGGAAUAGACUCUCCCUGUGAGACAAUGAGAGUGAGUGAGAGACAAUCUCCCGAUCUCUCUUUCUCU